AAUCUCCUCACCGCUGCUCUGGGACACGCCUCUGUUGGAUUUAAUUUACAGUCAUCAGCCACAGCUUUCAGCGAUGGACUCGACGGUUGAUGAUGAAGCGAUGGCGGCGUGAAUGAAGGCCCAGUGAGGAGAAACGAUGCCCAAGGGUGGGUGUUCUAGAACCCCACAGCAGGAAGAGCGUUCCCUGAGCAGCGACAUGGUGGAGAAGCAGCCCGGGAAAAAGGACAAAGAUAAAGUUUCUCUAACCAAGACCCCAAAGCUGGACCGCAGUGAUGGUGGGAAGGAGGUGAGAGAGCGCGCACCCAAGAGGAAGCUGCCCUUCACCGCGGGGGCCAAUGGAGAGCAGAAGGACUCGGACACAGAGAAGCAGGGUCCUGAGCGGAAGCGGAUCAGGAAGGAGCCCGUCACCCGCAAGGCCGGGCUGCUCUUCGGCAUGGGGCUGUCUGGGAUCCGCGCCGGCUACCCUCUCUCUGAGCGCCAGCAGGUGGCUCUGCUCAUGCAGAUGACGGCCGAGGAAUCCGCCAACAGCCCAGUGGACAUGACACCAAAGCACCCCUCUCAGUCAACAGUGUGUCAGAAGGGGACGCCCAACUCUGCCUCAAAAACCAAAGAUAAAGUGAACAAGAGGAACGAGCGUGGGGAGACCCGCCUGCACCGGGCGGCCAUCCGGGGGGACGCCCGGCGCAUCAAGGAGCUUAUCAGCGAGGGGGCAGACGUCAAUGUCAAGGACUUUGCGGGCUGGACGGCAUUGCAUGAGGCCUGUAACCGGGGCUACUAUGAUGUCGCGAAGCAGCUGCUGGCUGCAGGUGCGGAGGUGAACACCAAGGGCCUGGAUGAUGACACACCCUUGCACGAUGCUGCCAACAACGGGCACUACAAGGUUGAGGGCCAGCGCCAGAACGGGAGCCUGUCCUCAACACUGUGCUGUCAG
rnacentral:lncRNA from 1 species